AUGAACGCUGGCGGCGUGCCUAAUACCUGCAAGUCGCGCGAACAGACGAGGAGCUUGCUCCUCUGACGUUAGCGGCGGACGGGUGAGUAACCCGUGGAUAACCUACCUAUAAGACUGGGAUAACUUCGGGAAACCGGAGCUAAUACCGGAUAAUAUAUUGAACCGCAUGGUUCAAUAGUGAAAGACGGUUUUGCUGUCACUUAUAGAUGGAUCCGCGCCGCAUUAGCUAGUUGGUAAGGUAACGGCUUACCAAGGCAACGAUGCGUAGCCGACCUGAGAGGGUGAUCGGCCACACGGGAACUGAGACACGGUCCAGACUCCUACGGGAGGCAGCAGUAGGGAAUCUUCCGCAAUGGGCGAAAGCCUGACGGAGCAACGCCGCGUGAGUGAUGAAGGUCUUCGGAUCGUAAAACUCUGUUAUUAGGGAAGAACAAAUGUGUAAGUAACUAUGCACGUCUUGACGGUACCUAAUCAGAAAGCCACGGCUAACUACGUG
rnacentral:rRNA from 1 species